GAUUAGAGCCUCAUGGUGUAAUGGGCCAGUGGUGGUGCUUGUUACUUACAGGUCUAAAGUGUUUAAGUGUUGUAGCAGAUUAGAGCCUCAUGGUGUAAUGGGCCAGUGGUGGUGCUUGUUACUUACAGGUCUAAAGUGUUUAAGUGUUGUAGCAGAUUAGAGCCUCAUGGUGUAAUGGGCCAGUGGUGGUGCUUGUUACUUACAGGCCUAAAGUGUUUAAGUGUUGUAGCAGAUUAGAGCCUCAUGGUGUAAUGGGAAAUUGGUGGUGCUAGUUACUUACAGGCCUAAAGUGUUUAAGUGUUGUAGCAGAAGAGAGAGACGGUGUACUGGGCCAGUGAUGCGGCCAGUUUCAAGGAGGCCUACAGGACAAUGUAUUUGCUUCAGUAUAUGUUUAUACUACUGAUACCACUAUAUCAGAAAACGUCUAGUCACACUGUACUCUCACAAACUCUAGUAACAUAUACUGUAUUAAUAAAGAAGUAAAACAGAUAUAGUUUAGUACAUUGUAUGUUAUAAACCAUAACUUAACACACAUUUCUCUGUACGUGAAUGUAUCAUGAAUACAGAAAGUCACUUACGUGACCAUUUAUGAAGCUAAUACACUUACUUAUUACAGUUACCAUAUUAUGUAGAAAGCAGAACAUAUCUCUAUGUUCAUAUGAGAGGAUAUUUGUAAAUAGACCAUUUGCUGAUAUAUAAGUAUCAGUAGAAUCCGCUAUGAAAUACAAUACAUAUUUGAAAAUAUUGUAAGGGAAGAUUUACACACCUGAUAUGUGACGGUGUAGUAACGUAUGACAUACACUCCUGCU